rnacentral:tRNA from 1 species
UGUGCUGUGGCUCAGUGUUAGACUCCUUGCCUGGCAUGUGUGAGGCACUGGGUUCAAUUCUCAGCACCACAU